UCUGUUGUUUUAUUUUUCUAUUUUAUUUACUUACUAAUUCAUUUCUUCUUUUCAUUUUUUAUUUAUUACAUUUGUGUGUGUGCACAUGUGCAUUCGUGUGUGUGUGUGUGUGUGUGUGUGUGUGUGUGUGUGUGUGUGUGUGUACACACUACAUCCAUGCCACAGAGACUGUACUGAGAUGAGAGGACAGUUGGCUCAAGCUGUUCUCUCUUUCCACCCUGUGGCUCUCUGGGAUUCAGCUGUGUCAUUAGACACGGUGACAGACACACUUACUCACUAAGCCGUCUUGCCUGCCAUUUUGUUUGUUGUUGAGACCGUGCCUCAGGAAGCCUAGGCUGGCCUCAAACUCACUUUGUAACUGAACGUCUGUCCUCCAUCUCUCCAGUGUUUGGAUUCCGAGCAUUCACCGUCAUGCCUGGUUUAUGUGGUGCUGAGAAUCAAACCCAGGAAUGCCUUGGUGCUAUGCAAGAAGUCUACCAACUGAGCCACAUCCAGCAGUACACACAAUUUCUCCAACCUGAUUAUGAGCAAUGAUUUGGUGACUUCCCAACGUAAUGUAAAGCUCUUAGCUACUGCUCCAGCACCAUGCCUGUCUGAUUCUCACCAUGAUGACCAUGGUCUAAUCCUCUAAAACUGUGGGGCCAAGAGAGGACCCUGAAGACCCGAGAUCCGGAUGCACUGGCUUUCUUGGUUCCUGGACCCAGGACACUGAAGGUAGACUGAGCCGAGUUCUCCAGAGAACACUGCCUGACUGUGCUACGUCUUCCCCAGACCCUGCAAC